CUCUCUCCUUCUCUCCCCUGUUUUGCCGGAACUCAUGGCGGCUUCACGCCCUCGGUCCACGCCUUCCUGGAUUGGGAACACCUGGGCCUCAUCAGACCAGCUGGUAUAUUAAAAGGAGGAGAUCAGCUGUUCAACGCUGGAUUGUUGUGAAGGCUCUAAUUCCCCGGACCCGUCCCCGUGUUUCCCCGUGUGGAGUGUGGAAGGAGUGACUGGUCGCUAGCGGAGAAGAGAGAGGCUGAACUGAGCGCGUGUGUGAUUUCCCCCGUUUUCCCUGGAGCCCUGCCCCUCACGUCUUGUAUAUAGCACUAACCCCUCACUGUCUGUACAUACACUUGGUGAAGAUCUGUAAAUAAACCGUCUCUGUUUAAACGCUA